UACGGGGGGGGCAAGCGUUGUUCGGAAUUACUGGGCGUAAAGGGCCAGUAGGCGGCCAACUAAGUCCGACGUGAAAUCCCCAGGCUUAACCUGGGAACUGCGUCGGAUACUGGAUGGCUUGAAUUCGGGAGAGGGAUGCAGAAUUCCAGGUGUAGCGGUGAAAUGCGCAGAUAUCAGGAGGAACACCGGUGGCGAAGGCGGAUCUCUGGGCCAUUACUGACGCUGAGGAGCGAAAGCGUGGGGGGCGAACAGG
rnacentral:rRNA from 1 species